GGGGAGACCCGGGGGUGCGGUGGGGGCGGAGCGCGGGCGUUCGCGAUCCCCGGCGAGCGGGCGGAAGUCAGGCCAGACCCGGCAGAAGGGGGGUGGGGGGCCGUGCGGGAGGGUGUCAGCCGGCUGAGGCCGGAUCAGAUCGGCACUGGCCCCUUAAAAGUGGAUUUAAGACCACGGAGUGUGGCCAAGCCAUGCAUUCUACAGUAAGCCGUGGCCGAGUGUGUCUCAAGGGUGGGCGCUUGAGGGGCCCUUCAAGGGGCUCCGUUCCCGAAAAUAGGGCCUUCGUUUCUGUGGGACCCAGAAACUUGCGUUGGAAAGGGGGAGAGGGAUCUCAUUCUUCAGGCUCCAGGGACACCAGCUUCCGGCUGUCCUGUCUACACUGGCUCCCCAGUCAAGACGAACACUUUCUAUGAACUGAAAGUCAUCAAGAUGGGAACGGAGAUGCCUUCACCUGAUCUGGGGCUAAAGGAUGGUGGUGGUGGGGGUUGUGGAGGGAUUUUUACAGACUGGAGAGUGCCUUUAUUUCCAGCAAGUGUUAAGUGGCCAUAACAAAGUAGAACCCAUGGCUUCAAUUUGAUCUGUCAAAAAUGGAAUUAAAAGUAAAUUUGAAGUUUCACAACAUUGUUCUCUCUAUUACGGGUGCUACUGUGCAUUAAAAUCAUCUGUGAGGCUCAUUGGGAUGGGCAGAGAUUCAAUCACUGCUAAUGGCUCAAGGAAAUGGGGUGGUGAGAAUUAGGGUCAUCCAUCCCAACUGGGGCAAGAAGGAGAAUCAGGAAGUGAGUUUUUCAAUCUUGACAUCUUGCCAGCUGGAGCUGGAGGAAAUGUUUUUCUGAACUCAUUGAGCAGCCUACUUACAAAUCACAGAGAUAGCUACAUUCAAUG
rnacentral:lncRNA from 1 species